GAGACACAGAGAGAGAGAGGCAGAGACACAGGCAGAGGGAGAAGCAGGCUCCAUGCAGGGAGCCUGAAGUGGGACUCGAUCCCAGGACCCUAGCUAGGGUCAAGACCUGAGCCGAAGGCAGAUGCUCAACCACUGAACCACCCAGACGUCCCUAGAUAUUAUUAAAUAGCAAAUAAAAUUACUCAGUCUAGUACUCAAAAGUCAAAUAUAUUUAUAGGCAUUUUUACUCCAAGACUGGUCCAUGUGGGAAACGUCCAGAUAUUCAAUAAUUAUUUAGCCACACCUAACGGUUAUUGAUCAAUGACUGCUCAUGAAUGGAAAUUCAUGAAUGGAGACAGGAUCUUGAUCCUAUUUCUCAUUAGGGCUCUGUGACCUGGUACCAACUUCCUGUGCUUGACCAUGACUCUACCCAGUGUUGGUCCCUUGUAUUUCAGAUGACUGCUAUGUGGCACCUGGAAGAAAGGUGCCUGCCAGAUGGAUCUAGGGACCCCGUGCUGUCCUGGGGGACCUCAGCCAGCCCAGGCUGCCGAGGGACAGACAUUCUUGGGAAUGGGCCCAUCCUUCUCCUCCCUGCCCCUGACACUCCCGUCCUCCCCUUGCCCUACUCCUGCCCUCUGCCCCUUGGUGGCCUUGCUGGGCCUGAGUCCUCUGACACAGUGGAUGCUCCUGGCCUCUUGGCCACAAGUCGCCCAUGACGGGGAUGCUGAACCACUGCUGCCCUUCUCCAGCCUUGGGGGCCUGAGUACGCUGCACCUGGACCUCCUGACACCCCUGGAGGCCUCCGGCUCGUCCCUCAGGUUCCUGAGGCCCAGGGUGGCCUCACUUCCCAUUCCCAGCCAACCCCAGGGGGCAUGCAGAGGUAUCUUGUUGGUAUGGGAGGCACCGGCCUCCCCUUUUGGGGUCAGGUGCCUCCCUGUCCCACUGUGUGCCAGGCAGACUGACUUGGCAGGGCCAAGAGUUACCUUUGCCCGGUUGCGAGCCCAGGACUGAGCGAUGGCGGGGGGCUGAGCCAGCCACGUGGUGCUUGGCUGUCCAAGGGCUACCAUUUUGCCCAUUGCCCCUACGUGUGUGCUAUGGUUCCCUUACUUGUUCUUACGAGAAAGGUGUCUGUUUGUCUUUGUGCGGAUGUUUCAAAGGGACAGAGGUCAUUCGCGAGAGGUCUGGGGAGGUACAGGCCUUCCUCCCAUUUCAGCAAGAGCCCUUCCCGUAUCCUCCAGCCAGCCCAUGUCAACAACUCAUGGAAAAGUCUGGCCUCUUAAAAUCCACACGUCCACUAACUGUACGACGUCCUGACAGCAUUUGAGGCUCCAACACGUCUUCGCCUUAUGGAAAACACUUCAUUUCCAAAAUGAGGACCCGUAUAGAAUAAGAAUAAGAAUAAGGACCCGUAAGUGAGGUGCCUUAAGAAUGAUACGUAUUAGGAAACACUCAGGGCCAAGUCUAGGCCUCAGGUGUGGAUCUGAAAAGCACACUGCUCCAAUUCAUCGCAGAGGCUCGUUUUACAGUAGAUUAGCAAAACCGGCCUUUCUGGUUCCUAACCCCAUAAUCUCUGCUAAGCAAACGGUGGCAAACCAGGAUCCACCUGCAGCCACUGCGGCCCAUCACUUCGGCUCCUCACUGACCCCACUCGUGCCAUCUCUUCACCACUGGGGACACCACGUGUCCCACGGCUACGUACUUAGAAUAACCAGACUGAGGGUGCAGGAUGAGAUGCCCUUUCUCCUCCCAAGCAGGAUCACUUGGGCAAAGUGAUACACCAAGUGACAAAUCCACUGGAAGCAAUCCUUUUUUAAUGCCACGACUCCGGGUUCGGGAAAUGGGGGUCAAGGAAGAAGGGAAUGUUCCAGUUUCCUUAGCUUCUGCCAAAAGGAGUGGUGACCCGAGGGACCUUCUUAUGGGUCUGAUUCUGGGUAGGUUGGUAAGUGAAGGGGUGCAUGGGGGUCCUGAGCACAAGGAAGGGACCCCCACCAGCAACGGCGUGCAAGUUUCCAUGGCUUAGAGCAAGGCACCAUCCAACGAGAAGCAGGAGCACAGGCUGUCUCAGCUUGUUUGGUGGUUUGCAUGCAAAUUGCUUGUAGUUAAGAACUUUUUCUUUAGGGGCACCCGGGUGGCCGCUGAGCAUCUGCCUUGGGCUCAGGUCACGAUCCUGGGUUCCCAGGAUUGAGCCCUGCAAGAGGCUCCCCGGGGGGAGCCUGCUUCUCCCUCUGCCCAUGUCUCUAUGUCUCUGCCUAGGUCUCUGCCCCUCUCUUUGUGUCUCUCCUGAACAAAUAAAUACAAUCUUAAAAAAAAGAAAAAAAGAAAAAACAAGCUUCUUUAAAGCAAGCCUUACGCAGAGCCAUGUUAAUACGUCAAACAGAUCAAAGUGUCGGUGUCCUGCCUGGAUCUGCAGGGGAGGGAAGAGUAAAGGACCACAACCUGUCUUGCCCGUAGCUCACAAACAGAGCCGCACACCGCGUGCCUCGUUCCCUUGGAGGGUAUCACUACACCUGGCACCACCGACGGAAGAAAUGAAGCAACUGUCCCCGUGCCACCAAGGCAGGCCAUGACCUGGGACAGGCCGAGGAGGAGCUAAGAAGGGGCAGCCAGGGAUUUGAACCCAUGUCUGGAACUUCCUCAUUUCGACCCUCAUCAAGUCUCUGACAUCAAAAC
rnacentral:lncRNA from 1 species